CAUUCUUAGUUGAUCGUGAAACCAUCGAACACAUAACAAGAAAAAGAAACCCAUAUAUCUCUCAUAUCUAGUAAACCCUCCGCUCAACCCUGAAUACAACACCAAGAGACGUUUGGAUUUUCGGAAAAGAUAGUGGUUAGCUUCAAUCCUCCAAAGGGAUAUACUGAUUCAAAAAGGAGGGGCGAAGGAAUAUCGAAAGCCAUCCUGAACAGCACCCAAUCCUGAAAAAGGCGAGUUUUCUUCUUGAAGCCAGAGCAACAAGAUACAUUACCCAAAUGUUGAUGGUGAGAACUCAGAGAGAAUCCUCGACAUCCGAAAACAACUUAGACAUAAUGGAUCAGCACUCCAAGUUGGCAGAUAAUAAUAAUGGCAUGAACAACCAGCAUCGCGAUUUGACCAAGGCCACCACCCCACACCGGGCCGAAAAGGAGGAUGACAAAAACAAAGUCCUACUAGACAAAGAUGCUGCUAAGUCUUCCU
rnacentral:sRNA from 1 species